AUGGGCUACACGGCCCCCCCUGACCUGUGUGUGUACCGUUAUCUGCUCGGCCAAGGGAGGCUGUUCAUCACGCAGACAGCUUGGCCAGCACACCUGCUCUGCGCCAGCCAGAGCUGCAGCAUCUUGAGAGGAAAGAGGGGAGGGGAAGAGACGGGGAGGAGGAGACCCCGAGGGGAGGGCCAAAGACUGAGGGCAGCAGCUUCCCAGGCCCCGGAUUGGCCCAGAGGGUGGUAGUGAAUUCGGGGCACAAUGCCUGGCUUCUGGCUUCUGUUCUUGGUAUCAUGAAUGUGCUGUGUGACCACUGGCUAGUCACUUAACUACUCUGAGCUAUCAAAUGGGAUCCGGCUUUGCCAGAAAUGUGGGGGUCACUUUCUCCUCCUCCUUCUCAUGCUCCCCAACCAAUCAUGAGGUUCUGUCAGUACCACCUCCCAAUCUACUGCGACCCUUCCCAUUUCUCAUUGGGACCACCCCAGUUGAGGCCCCCAUCAUCUCUGGCUUAGAUGAUGCCACAGUCUCUUUCCCUGGCUUCCUGCUUCCUUUCCUGCCCCUUCUAAACUCCAUUCUCCACAUUUCAGAGAAGUUAAGUGGCCACGGUCCCACAGCACAUCUGUCACAGCACCAGGGACAGAAGCCAGGCGUUAUCUGCAGCACCCAACGCUGCAGCAGCCAGAAGGGUCUUUAUUUCAAAACCAAGUCACAUCAUUCCUCGCUUAAACCCUCUGCUGACUUCCUGUCAGCCUCAGAGAUGAACCCAGGUUCCCUGCCCAGCCGUGCCAGAUGUGGCCUCCCCUGCCUCCUGUCAUCAGGCCACGCUGGCCCACCCCCAGCUCACCAAGCCCAACCACGCCGCCACCCCUUGGCCUUUGCACGUGCCGCUCACUCCGGUGCGAGUGCUCUCUGGGUCCUGUGCCCACUGCCAGCUCUCCACCACCGCAGACCCCAGCACAG
rnacentral:lncRNA from 1 species